UACGAAGGGGGCUAGCGUUGUUCGGAAUUACUGGGCGUAAAGCGCGCGCAGGCGGUCCUUCAAGUCAGAGGUGAAAGCCCAGAGCUCAACUCUGGAACGGCCUUUGAGACUAGAGGACUUGGGUACGGGAGAGGUGAGUGGAAUUCCGAGUGUAGAGGUGAAAUUCGUAGAUAUCGGGAGGAACACCUGUGGCGAAAGCGGCUCACUGGACCACAACUGACGCUGAGGCGCGAAAGCUAGGGGAGCAAACAGG
rnacentral:rRNA from 1 species